AUUCCAGCUCCAAUAGCGUAUAUUUAGUUGUUGCGGUUAAAAAGCUCGUAGUUGGAUUUCGGGCGUGGAGGUUCGGUCCGCCGUUUCGGUGUGCACUGUCUUUCUGCGUCUUUCUGUCGGGGACGCGCUUCUGGCCUUAAUUGGCUGGGACGUGGAUUCGACGAGGUUACUUUGAAAAAAUUAGAGUGUUCAAAGCAAGCUAAAGCUCUGAAUACAUUAGCAUGGAAUAACGCGAGAGUACUCGGUCCUUAUUUUGUUGGUCUUCAAGGAUGGAGUAAUGAUUAAGAGGGACAGUUGGGGGCAUUCGUAUUUCAUUGCUAGAGGUGAAAUUCUUGGAUUUAUGAAAGACGAACUUCUGCGAAAGCAUUUGCCAAGGAUGUUUUCAUCG
rnacentral:rRNA from 1 species